UCAAGAAAGAUCGCUGAUUGCCAUUUGGCGUACAACGCAAGCCGUAAGCAGUAUGACCG
rnacentral:snoRNA from 1 species